CGCACCUUGCACCUUUUGGUAUUCCGAAAGGUACAUCUGUUUGAGUGUCAUGAACCCCUCAACCUCUGCACUUUCUUGUAAAGUGGCAGCAGUGUUGGAUGCUGAGCGUUGCUGUUUCCGUACAGCUCGCUUCAAAUGCAUAAGCAAUCUUUGUACAUGCUCGGAUUGACUUGACGUGAUAAGAUCUUCGUCGAGGAUGCUUUAACUAGCAGCCGGAUUGUACACUAGUCGCUUCCAAACCGAGUCGCCUUGUGCGAUGCUCCCUGACUUUAGACCUCAAAUCAGAUGGGAUUACCCGCUGAACUUAA
rnacentral:misc_RNA from 1 species